rnacentral:lncRNA from 1 species
UGCGUCCGGUGAGGAAAGGCCUUUGCUCCAUACAGAGCCACAAAAUGUUCGUUAGAUUGAACUUCUGAAUUGAAGAAACUAAAGCUCAAACAGGAUGUACAUCAUUUAAAGAAGAAUGUUCCAACUACUUGGAUCCAGUUAUUCUGCUUCCAGGAAUUCAUCCUAAGGAAAUAUUUCAGAAGGGAAAAAUGUUAAUCAUGCAGAUAUGUUUAUAAUCAACUUUAUUUACGACGGCGAGGAAGCAAGAAUGAGUAACAACUGGACAACGGUUAAAUAAAC